AUGUCUCCCUGAAAUUUCCGUAUAGGGAGUCGAGCCUGCCCAGUGAAAAUUUUCAACGGCCGCGGUACCCUAACCGUGCGAAGGUAGCAUAAUCAUUUGUCUUAUAAUUGAAGUCUAGUAUGAAUGGUUUGACAAGAGCAUAGCUGUCUCUAUCUAUUUUUUUAGAAUUUUAUUUUUAAGUUAAAAAGCUUAAAUAAAAUUAUUAGACGAGAAGACCCUAUCGAGCUUAAAAAUUAUUUUAGUUUAAAAAAAUUAUUAAAAUUAAUUUCUGAUUUAUAUUUUGGUUGGGGCGACCAGAGAACAAUAAAAACUUCUCUAGCACUCAAAGUUUUAUGAGGAUCCAGUAUUAUUGAUUAAUAGAAAUAGUUACCGUAGGGAUAACAGCAUAAUCUUUUUUGAGAGUUCAUAUUAAAAAUAAGGUUUGUGACCUCGAUGUUGGACCAAAAUUUCCUGUAGAUGCAGAAGUCUAUUAGGUUGGUCUGUUCGACCAUUAAAAUUUUACGUGAUCUGAGUUCAGACCGG
rnacentral:rRNA from 1 species